rnacentral:rRNA from 1 species
CCUACGGGCGGCAGCAGUGAGGAAUAUUGGUCAAUGGGCGCGAGCCUGAACCAGCCAAGUAGCGUGCAGGAUGACUGCCCUACGGGUUGUAAACUUCUUUUAUAAGGGAAUAAAGUGCGGCACGUGUGUCGGUUUGUAGGUACUGUACGAAUAAGGACCGACUAACUCCGUGCCAGCAGCCGAGGUAAUACGGAGGAUCCGAGCGUUAUCCGGAUUUAUUGGGUUUAAAGGGAGCGUAGGUGGUUUGUUAAGUCAGUUGUGAAAGUUCGCGGCUAAACCCUCAAAGUGAAUUUGAUACUGGAGGGCUUGAGUACAGUUGAGGUAGGCGGAAUUCGUGGUGUAGCGGUGAAAUGCUUAGAGAUCACGAAGAACCCCGAUUGCGAAGGCAGCUUACCAAACUGCGACUGACGUUGAUGCUCGAAAGUGUGGGUAUCAAACAGGAUUAGAUACCCGUGUAGUC